UGUGGGACAUCUGCUGUCUAGGGACCCUUAGGAAUGAGUGCCUGCAAGGGCUGCAGAAAGUGAGGGGCGGGACAGAUCUUUGCUCCCCGCCUCACAAUUCCUCAGGUUUCCUUCUCAUGGGCCCUGGGGAUUCCAAGCCCUUUCACUGAGCUCAGGGUCUGUCUUACUCCCCACUUUGGUCCACCCUUGUACUAUCGGAAAAUGGAGUGCAAAUAAUUUCUGAAGUCUAUGAUGAGGACCUAAGUGCCUCCCAGCCACCUGGAAAUACCUCGUUCGUGUUCACUGUAAGUGACAUUGGCCAAGGUUUUCCUCUACAAGAACCCUGGAGAUGAAACUUGCCCAGGACAUGAAGUGUUUGUGCAGAGCCAACAUGGAACUCCGGCAAGAGGGCUGCCAUUUUUGUCAAUUGCAGAUAGUUUAACCCUGGAAACUCUGGAGAGGAAAUAAAUGUCAGAGUCCCAAGAAGGGUGGGAGGCACUCCAAAGAAGAAGGAAGCUCCUGGCUGCUCCUGGCUGCUCCUGGCUGCUCCUGGCUGCUCCUGGCUGCUCCUGGCUGCUCCUGGCUACUCCUGGCUAUUCCUGGCUGCUCCUGGCUGCUCCCGGCUGCUCCCGGCUGCUCCCGGCUGCUCCCGGCUGCUCCUGGAAGAUUGGACUUGCUCCAAGAAACACGAUGCCCCCUUUCCCCUCUAACCUCUCCUACCUUAGUGAUGGGGGGCAGGGGGAUUGGAAGGGAUUAGUGUGCAAUAAGGGUUGGAAGAGAAGAAAGAGGUAUAAAAACCCAAUAAAAUAUUAAAAAUAUGCCAA